UUUCGAAUCAUUCACAAUGGGCGAAAGCCUGAUGGUGCGACGCCGCGUGAGGGAUGAAGGUCUUCGGAUUGUAAACCUCUGUCACUGGGGAAGAAACGCUUUGAGUUAAUAGUUCAAAGCCUGACUUAACCCGGAGAGGAAGCAGUGGCUAACUCUGUGCCAGCAGCCGCGGUAAUACAGAGACUGCAAGCGUUAUUCGGAUUCACUGGGCGUAAAGGGUGCGCAGGCGGUUGGGUGUGUCAGAUGUGAAAUCCCGAGGCUCAACCUCGGAACUGCGUCUGAAACUACUCGACUAGAGUACUGGAGAGGGUAACGGAAUUCACGGUGUAGCAGUGAAAUGCGUAGAUAUCGUGAGGAACACCAGAGGCGAAGGCGGUUACCUGGACAGUUACUGACGCUCAGGCACGAAAGCAUGGGGAGCAAAAG
rnacentral:rRNA from 1 species